rnacentral:rRNA from 1 species
AUUGAACGCUGGCGGCAGGCCUAAUACAUGCAAGUCGAACGGUAACAUAAAGAAGCUUGCUUCUUUUGAUGACGAGUGGCGGACGGGUGAGUAAUAUUUGGGAAACUACCUGAUAGAGGGGGACAACAGUUGGAAACGACUGCUAAUACCGCAUAAAGCCUAAGGGUGAAAGCAGCAAUGCGCUAUCAGAUGUGCCCAAACGGGAUUAGCUAGUAGGUGAGGUAAAGGCUCACCUAGGCGACGAUCUCUAGCUGGUCUGAGAGGAUGAUCAGCCACAUUGGGACUGAGACACGGCCCAGACUCCUACGGGAGGCAGCAGUAGGGAAUAUUGCACAAUGGAGGAAACUCUGAUGCAGCCAUGCCGCGUGUGUGAAGAAGGCCUUCGGGUUGUAAAGCACUUUCGGAGGGGAGGAAAAGAUGACGUUACCCUCAGAAGAAGCACCGGCUAACUCCGUG